rnacentral:rRNA from 1 species
UUGAACGCUGGCGGCAGGCCUAACACAUGCAAGUCGAGCGCGAAAGUUCUUCGGAAUGAGUAAAGCGGCGGACGGGUGAGUAACGCGUGGGAAUCUGCAUAGUAGUGGGGGACAACAGCCGGAAACGGCUGCUAAUACCGCAUACGCCCUAAGGGUGAAAGGGGGGGAUCUUCGGAACCUCCGCCAUUAGAUGCGCUCGCGUCGGAUUAGCUAGUUGGUAGGGUAAAGGCCUACCAAGGCUACGAUCCGUAACUGGUCUGAGAGGAUGAUCAGUCACACUGGAACUGAGACACGGUCCAGACUCCUACGGGAGGCAGCAGUGGGGAAUAUUGGACAAUGGGGGCAACCCUGAUCCAGCCAUGCCGCGUGUGUGAAGAAGGCCUUAGGGUUGUAAAGCACUUUCAGUGGGGAGAAAGGUUUGUCACCUAAUACGUGAUGAAAUUGAUGUUACCCACAGAAGAAGCACCGGCUAACUCCGUGCCAGCCGCCGCAGUAA